UACGUAGGGAGCAAGCGUUGUCCGGAAUUACUGGGCGUAAAGGGCGUGUAGGCGGGAAUUUAAGUAAGGUGUGAAAACUCCGGGCUCAACCUGGAGACUGCACUUUAAACUGAGUUUCUUGAGGGCAGGAGAGGAAAGUGGAAUUCCUAGUGUAGCGGUGAAAUGCGUAGAUAUUAGGAGGAACACCAGUGGCGAAGGCGACUUUCUGGACUGUACCUGACGCUGAGGCGCGAAAGCGUGGGGAGCGAACAGG
rnacentral:rRNA from 1 species